GCCCCAUGACUUUUAAAGUCUUUAGUUCUUUAAGCACUAAAUCAGCAUUCAAGUGGCCGGUUAAUCUCCCAAGGGCCAAAAUGAAGUGCUCCGGCCUAGUUUAGGACACAGACUGACUGUUGGAAAACUCUUUCUUAGCACCAAACCUAGUAAGCACGGAAUAUAAACAGAGCAAUUUUGGACAAAAUUGCCGUACGAGCUUCCUUCUUCACUUUCUCCUUUUUUCUUACUCUGCAGACUUGUGCGCACUUGAAUCAAAAGCCAGAAAAACGGAUUUUAUGGUGGGGAGGGAGGCAGCAUGUAUUAUGACUUCGUCUGACACACUUAGUUGUUUAGUUUCAAUAACUAUGAAAAGCUCUUGGUUCCUCUGUAUUCCCAGCCUCCUUGAGUGCAGGUGUCAGAGUCUUUCUUAUUGCUUUUCAUAUACUAUGAUUGGGACAGCUCCAAAGGAAAAAGGCAGCCUAUCACGGCAAUUCCCAACCGAUGAGAAGCUGAAAGACCAUGUGACGCACAUUCCAUGCCAGGCAUCUGGAAGAUUGAAGGAUGAAAGCCAGUCAAUGGAGACGGAAGGGUAAACGGAAGGAUCAUCAAUGGAUUAUAAAGCCAUCAGAUGAAAAGAUGCAGUAGAAGAGUGUAUUUUAAGGAUGCCAAAGCGUAAUCCCACAGAUGUCUUGCUAAUUUCAAGGAGAAUGAAACAUCUUUACAAAGGCAAGAUCUCAUCUUACAUUAGAAUAACACACCUGACAUCAUGUACCCCAAACACAAAAGCAUCACCUCUGAAAUAUUUCUGCCAAAACCUAUUCAAACCCUCAAACCUUAAGUUUACAGCAACUAUAAGGGCUAGAGGAACAGGUUAAUGACUCCAAGUGUCAACAAUCCAACACAUACAGAAUGUGGAACAUUACACAAAAACUUCUCAGUAUCUUCAAAAAUGCUGGCAUCACACACACACACAAAAGAGGGAUAGGGAAAGUUUCUUCUAGAAUAAAAAACACUAAUGAGACGCA
rnacentral:lncRNA from 1 species